UACGUAGGGGGCAAGCGUUGUCCGGAUUUACUGGGCGUAAAGAGCGCGUAGGCGGAGAUCUAAGCGUGGCCUGAAAGCCCCCGGCUCAACCGGGGAGUGCGGCUGCGAACUGGGUUUCUUGAGGACGAUAGAGGAGAGUGGAAUUCCUGGUGUAGCGGUGAAAUGCGUAGAUAUCAGGAGGAACACCCGAGGCGAAGGCGGCUCUCUGGGUCGUACCUGACGCUGAGGCGCGAAAGCGUGGGGAGCGAACGGG
rnacentral:rRNA from 2 species